GGGCUCCAGAGUUUUGUACAGCAGUGCAUCUUCAACAGGGCUAGCCAUGAACAAGAGCCCUAGGGCCCGAGACAGGGAAAAGAAAGAUAGAAGAUACAGAAGGUGGAGUGCAGGGUGGGGGGGGGUUGGGGUGAAGGGGUGGUGAGAUGGUGAGGAGGCAAAAAAAGUGAAAAGAGAAAGGAAAAAAGGAAAAGGGAGGUGCCGGUGAGACGAGCUGCGAUUGAUUGGUGUUUUUGUCUUCUGUGGUGCUGCAGGGUGUCUCUCCUGCAGAACCGGCGGGUACCCAGUGAAGUGGUGACGGACUGUGGGAUCAGACUGUGUCCCAACAUGAUUCCGCUCGCAGAGUGAGGACACAUUUUUCAGAGCUUCAUUCCCAGACGAGGUCGGGUCGGAAGAAGUGCUCAAGCCAAUCCCAGCAGUCGUUGGGCAAGAGACAGGUUGAAGCUCCAGGCCCGGCUGGCGAGGGCGAGGAGCAGCCAGAGAAAUGUCCCGGCACGAGAUGAGCAAGAUGACACGGAGGCAGCGUCCCAGUGUCCCACAGGAGCUGCCAUAGCUGGACACAGGUCCGGUCAGUUCAGAUGGAGAGUGUGGAGGAUGCCUUCAGAGAGCAAAGAAAGAAAGAAAG